rnacentral:rRNA from 1 species
GUUAGCGGCGGACGGGUGAGUAACACGUGGGUAACCUGCCCUUAAGAUUGGGAUAACUCCGGGAAACCGGGGCUAAUACCGAAUAAUCUUUUUAACCUCAUGGUUCAAAAUUGAAAGACGGCUUCGGCUGUCACUUAUGGAUGGACCCGCGUCGCAUUAGCUAGUUGGUGAGGUAACGGCUCACCAAGGCAACGAUGCGUAGCCGACCUGAGAGGGUGAUCGGCCACACUGGGACUGAGACACGGCCCAGACUCCUACGGGAGGCAGCAGUAGGGAAUCUUCCGCAAUGGACGAAAGUCUGACGGAGCAACGCCGCGUGAGUGAUGAAGGAUUUCGGUUCGUAAAACUCUGUUGUUAGGGAAGAACAAGUGCUAGUUGAAUAGGCUGUACCCUUGACGGUACCUAAUAAAAGCCACGGCUAAUACGUGGCCACACCGCGGUAAUACGUAGGUGGCAAGCGUUAUCCGGAAUUAUUGGGCGUAAAGCGCGCGCAGGUGGUUUCUUAAGUCUGAUGUGAAAGCCCACGGCUCAACCGUGGAGGGUCAUUGGAAACUGGGAGACUUGAGUGCAGAAGAGGAAAGUGGAAUUCCAAGUGUAGCGGUGAAAUGCGUAGAGAUAUGGAGGAACACCAGUGGCGAAGGCGACUUUCUGGUCUGUAACUGACACUGAGGCGCGAAAGCGUGGGGAGCAAACAGGAUUAGAUACCCUGGUAGUCCACGCCGUAAACGAUGAGUGCUAAGUGUUAGAGGGUUUCCGCCCUAGUGGAGUAACGCAUAGCCUCCGCUGGGGAGUACGGCCACAAGGGUGAAUCUCAAAAGAAUUGACGGGGGCCCGCACAAGCGGUGGCGCAUGUGGUAUAAUUAGAAGCAACGAGAAGAACCUUCCCAUGUCUUGACAUCCUUUGACAACCUUGGAGAUAGGGUUUCUCUUUCGGGAGCAGAGUGACAGGUGGUGCAUGGUUGUCGUCAGCUCGUGUCGUGAGAUGUUGGGUUAAGUCCCGCAACGAGCGCAACCCUUGAUCUUAGUUGCCAUCAUUAAGUUGGGCACUCUAAGGUGACUGCCGGUGACAAACCGGAGGAAGGUGGGGAUGACGUCAAAUCAUCAUGCCCCUUAUGACCUGGGCUACACACGUGCUACAAUGGACGAUACAAAGGGUUGCAAGACCGCGAGAGGGAGCUAAUCCGAUAAAACCGUUCUCAGUUCGGAUUGUAGGCUGCAACUCGCCUACAUGAAGCCCUGGAAUCGCUAGUAAUCGCGGAUCAGCAUGCCGCGUAAUUCCUUUUUU